UGGGGUGGGUGUCCAGCGCUGUAGGAGGAACGCGGUGGGAGGAAGGCUUGCGGGCGUGCGGACUCGGCUUCGGGCCGAGCGCUUUGAAGAAUUUUGCAGAACCCUGCUACCUACAGACUCUGCCAUGGAUGUCAUGUAAAGAAACCCCGGAUGUAGUAACGGACAAAACAUGAGUCAGUUUGUGUUGUGGCAUUCAGAUCUGAACACACUGGGAGAGAUUGUGGAGGACCCGAGGAACUUACGGAGUUUGUUUGUUUUCUGUCCACUGUGACUCCAGAAGUGAUUCUGAAUGGAGAAGACGUAGGACCGGUCAGUGGUAGGAUGGACUGUGCUUGGAAGACAGGCACCUGGAGCUCUCAGUUUGGACUAGGCUGGCUGGCAGUAAGCCCCCAGGAUCCUCCUGUUCUCACACUAGGCAUCAAACACCAAGAUUGUGAAGACCAUGGCCCAUCCUUAUGCAUUCAAGAGUUGAGUGUGGAUGACUUGGAGCUGAAAAACCCCUUCAGAAGCUUCAUGUGUCACGUGCAUUGAAGCUCUGCAUUAAACCCGCUCGCACAAGCACUCACAGUUAAGAGAUUACCUCAAAUCUGAAAUAAGGCUUUGGACUUGUGAACAGUAUUGGAAUUGUUGAAGAAUAUGGGGACUUUUGAAGUUGUCCUGGACAUAUGUUUGCAUUAUAAGAUGACAAUGAAGGCUGCCAG
rnacentral:lncRNA from 1 species